GAUGAACGCUGGCGGCGUGCCUAAUACAUGCAAGUCGAGCGAACAGACGAGGAGCUUGCUCCUCUGACGUUAGCGGCGGACGGGUGAGUAACACGUGGAUAACCUACCUAUAAGACUGGGAUAACUUCGGGAAACCGGAGCUAAUACCGGAUAAUAUAUUGAACCGCAUGGUUCAAUAGUGAAAGACGGUUUUGCUGUCACUUAUAGAUGGAUCCGCGCCGCAUUAGCUAGUUGGUAAGGUAACGGCUUACCAAGGCAACGAUGCGUAGCCGACCUGAGAGGGUGAUCGCCACAGGGGGAACUGAGACCGGGUCAGGCUCACACGGGGAGGCACAAUGGGGGAUUUUGCGACAAGGGGCAAAAGCCGGAGGAGACAACGCGGGGGGAGUGAAGAAGGUUUGGGAAUCGAAAACCUUUUUUAUGGGGAAAGAAAAAUUGUAAAGUAAAAACCCCCCGUUUUGACGGUACCUAAAGAAAAAGCCCGGGCUAACUACGUG
rnacentral:rRNA from 1 species